CAAAUAUCUGCCCUAUCAACUUUCGAUGGUAGAGUAGUGGUCUACCAUGGUUUCAACGGGUAACGGGGAAUAAGGGUUCUAUUCCGGAGAGGGAGCCUGAGAAACGGCUACCACAUCCAAGGAAGGCAGCAGGCGCGCAAAUUACCCAAUCCCGACACGGGGAGGUAGUGACAAUAAAUACUGAUAUCAGGGCUCUCUCUGGGUCUUGUAAUUGGAAUGAGUACAAUUUAAAUCCCUUAAACGAGGAACAAUUGGAGGGCAAGUCUGGUGCCAGCAGCC
rnacentral:rRNA from 1 species